rnacentral:Y_RNA from 1 species
GGCUGGUUCCAGUGCAGUGGUAUUUACGACUAAUUGAUCAUAACUGGUUACAGAUUCCUUUGUUCUUUCUCCACUCCCAUUGCUUCACUUGACUAUCCUUAA